UACGGGGGGGGCAAGCGUUGUUCGGAAUUACUGGGCGUAAAGGGCGCGUAGGCGGCCUGUUAAGUCACACGUGAAAUCCCUCGGCUCAACCGGGGAACUGCGUGUGAUACUGGCGGGCUUGAAUUCGGGAGAGGGAUGUGGAAUUCCAGGUGUAGCAGUGAAAUGCGUAGAUAUCUGGAGGAACACCGGUGGCGAAGGCGGUGAUCUGGGCCGGCACUGACGCUGAGGAGCGAAAGCGUGGGGAGCGAACAGG
rnacentral:rRNA from 1 species